GACGAACCGUGCGAACGUUAUUCGGAAUCACUGGGCUUAAAGCGCGUGUAGGCAGGGCGGUGCGUCGGUCGCUGAAAUCCCCCGGCUCAACCGGGGAAGGGGCGCCGAUACGACCGGCCUGGAGCGACGUAGGGGGAACUGGAACUUCCGGUGGAGCGGUGAAAUGCGUUGAGAUCGGAAGGAACGCCCGUGGCGAAAGCGAGUUCCUGGACGUCGGCUGACGCUGAGACGCGAAAAGCCAGGGGGAGCGAAACGGGG
rnacentral:rRNA from 1 species